rnacentral:lncRNA from 1 species
AUGGCUAUGCCAGGUAGGAGACCUGCGCAAACUCCCUGUGCUUUCCGGUGGGCUAAAGAGACCGGGCAGGCACCGUGUUAUGCUAGUGAGCGCACGGUGUCUCCAGUGCGGGUGCAUAGCCCGGUACGGUUCAUACCAGCCCUUCGUAUUGGCCGUGCUAGAGCGGGCAUCGAGCCAGGUAAGCUUGGGCAGGCUCGGUGCUCAAGAGCUCCAGUGCGCCUGCACGGUCCGGUCUAUCCAGAACCACCUCCACACACCAGUCCUCCGGUAGCAGCUCCCCGUACCAUGCUUCCUGUGCGUGUCCUCGCUCCAGUAUCACCAGUGCCCGCACCACGCAUCAGGCCUACAGUGCGCCUCGCCUCUCCUGCUCUGUCGGAGUCUCCCGCCUGUUCAGCACAGCCAGAGCCUUCCUUCCCUCCUGCGCUGUCGGAGUCUCCCGCCUGUUCAGCGCAGCCAGCGUUUUCCUCCUCUCCUGCGCUGUCGGAGUCUCCCGCCUGUUCAGCGCAGCCAGCGUUUUCCUCCUCUCCUGCGCUGCCGGAGCCUCCUGCCUGUUUGAAGCAGCCUGAGCUGCCAGUCUGCAGGGUGCUGUCAGUCUGCAUGAAGCAGCCAGAGCUGUCAGUCUGCAAGGAGCUGUCAGCCUGCAUGGAGCAGUCAGAGCUGUCAGUCUGCAUGAAGCAGCCAGAGAUGUCAGUCUGCAAAGAGCUGCCAGUCUGCAUGGAGCUGCCAGUCUGCAGGGUGCUGUCAGCCUGCAUGGAGCAGUCAGAGCUGUCAGUCUGCAUGAAGCAGCCAGAGAUGCCAGUCUGCAAGGAGCUGCCAGUCUGCAAGGAGCUGCCAGUCUGCAAGGAGCUGCCAGUCUGCAGGGUGCUGUCAGCCUGCAUGGAGCAGCCAGAGAUGUCAGUCUGCAUGAAGCAGCCAGAGAUGUCAGUCUGCAAAGAGCUGCCAGUCUGCAAGGAGCUGCCAGUCUGCAGGGUGCGGUCAGCCUGCAUGGAGCAGUCAGAGCUGUCAGUCUGCAUGAAGCAGCCAGAGCUGUCAGUCUGCAAGGAGCUGUCAGCUUGCAUGGAGCAGUCAGAGCUGCCAGUCUGCAUAGAGCAGCUAGAUCCGCCAGUCAACCAGAUUCUUCCAGAUCAGCCUGUCAACCAGAAUCUUCCAGAUCUGCUAGUCAACCAGAAUCUUCCAGAUCUGCUAGUCAACCAGAAUCUUCCAGAUCUGCUAGUCAACCAGAAUCUUCCAGAUCUGCUAGUCAACCUGAAUCUUCCAGAUCCGCCAGCCAGCCAGGAUCUACCGGAGCCUACUACCUACCUGAGCUUCAUCUCAGUACUGGGCUUCCUCUCAGUACUGGGCUUCCCCUCAGUUCCGGGCUGCCCCUCAGUUCCGGGCUGCCCCUCAGUUCCGGGCUGCCCCUCAGUCCCGAGCUGCCCCUCAGUCCCGAGCUGCCCCGCAGUCCCGAGCUGCCCCGCAGUCCCGAGCUGCCCCUCAGUUCCGGGCUGCCCCGCAGUCCCGAGCUGCCCCUCAGUCCCGAGCUGUCCCUCAGUCCCGAGCUGUCCCUCAGUCCCGAGAUGCCCCUCAGUCACGAGCUGCUCCUCAGUUCUGUGGGGUUCUGGGUGA